UCCCUGGUGGCUCAGAGGUUAAAGCGUCUGCCUGCAAUGCAGGAGACCUGGGUUAGGUCCCUGGGUCGGGAA
rnacentral:tRNA from 1 species